UACGUAGGGUGCAAGCGUUAAUCGGAAUUACUGGGCGUAAAGCGCACGUAGGCGGCUUUGUAAGUUAGAGGUGAAAGCCCGGGGCUCAACUCCGGAAUUGCCUUUAAAACUGCAUCGCUAGAAUUGUGGAGAGGUGAGUGGAAUUCCGAGUGUAGAGGUGAAAUUCGUAGAUAUUCGGAAGAACACCAGUGGCGAAGGCGACUCACUGGACACAUAUUGACGCUGAGGUGCGAAAGCGUGGGGAGCAAACAGG
rnacentral:rRNA from 1 species